rnacentral:rRNA from 1 species
AUUGAACGCUGGCGGCAGGCCUAACACAUGCCAGUCGAGCGAAUGAAGGGAGCUUGCUCCUGGAUUCAGCGGCGGACGGGUGAGUAAUGCCUAGGAAUCUGCCUGGUAGUGGGGGAUAACGUCCGGAAACGGGCGCUAAUACCGCAUACGUCCUGAGGGAGAAAGUGGGGGAUCUUCGGACCUCACGCUAUCAGAUGAGCCUAGGUCGGAUUAGCUAGUUGGUGGGGUAAAGGCCUACCAAGGCGACGAUCCGUAACUGGUCUGAGAGGAUGAUCAGUCACACUGGAACUGAGACACGGUCCAGACUCCUACGGGAGGCAGCAGUGGGGAAUAUUGGACAAUGGGCGAAAGCCUGAUCCAGCCAUGCCGCGUGUGUGAAGAAGGUCUUCGGAUUGUAAAGCACUUUAAGUUGGGAGGAAGGGCAGUAAGUUAAUACCUUGCUGUUUUGACGUUACCAACAGAAUAAGCACCGGCUAACUUCGUG